CCUAUUUUUCCCCCUUAUCUCUUUUUUCUUUCUCUCUCUUCUCACUCUCUCCUCUCUUCUUAGAGACUAGCCUUCCGCCGCCCAUCUCCGCCGGUCGGAAAUCGCCACACCCGGCGGACCUCGUCCAAAGCCCAUAAAAGCUACACCAAUCACUUUCUCUCUUUACCCUCUCUCCUAAUCCCAGCCCCAAAUCCUCAAAACCCCCUCUAAAUUCCGUGAAAGCGAAACCCUAGAUAGCCGCCUCUUACUUCCCUCUUAGAUUUUACGGUAAAUCCAACCACCCCACCACACAAACUUCACAUAAACAUAUAGAUCUUCAGAAGAUCUACACUUUCCCUCUAGUUUUACCUCCGAAACCCGACCAUCACCGUCGACCACCACACUGCCCGUCGCCUAUGCCGCUACUAUUUCUCCAUCAUCGUUUCUUUCGAUACAAGAACCCUCUUUUCCUUCCGGCACAAUGCUGGAAUCCCUUUGUUUUAGCGUUUGCCGGAGUGAAAUGAGUGUUUCAAGGUCGGGCAGCUACUCCUUCACAUCUCCGGCGUCUUCUCGUGGCUCGAACAGUUCAAGCAGAUUCGAUUGGUAUAAGUGUCAUCCCUUUAAUUAAUUUCUGAUCUUUUAAUAGUAAUAGGUUAGUUUCUGAUUUUAAUUUUUUCUGUUUUGGUUUGUUGUUUGUUAAUUAGAGUUUAGGUUUAUUUAACUGGUUAUCACUAUCUGGUUUAGUUUUUUUUUAUCAGAUUGUUAUUAACCAAGCUAAUCUUUAGUGUUGUCAAAUCAGUGUUCAUCUAGCAAGUUGUUUCGUCGAUGUUAUCUUUCGUCGACGAUUCAAUAAUGUUUGUUUAACAUCUACUUCAUAUAAUAGAUUUUAGUAUUAGUCGCUUUAUCUUAACUUGCGUAGGUUGAACCGAUUUGAUCUAGUUCAUUUGAAUCCUCAUUCUAGUUGCAAUCUAAGAGUGUAUGCUUUAGCAGUUCAAUUGUGAAUGCUAGUUGUUUGUUUACUUGGUUUAGUUUGAAUCAAAUAGGGUGGUACUGUUUUGGUGUAAAGCUGAAAGUUAGAAUGUGUUAAUCAUGAAAUAAGUACAUGUUAGCUUGCUUUUACUGUUUAGGCAUGCUGGAAAUACAACUGCUCUGCUUUGUGUCAGCAUUUGGCGAAAAGUGGAUUGUUUUGGUACAUAAAAGUUAGUCCUUUUGGACAGAUUUUUGGUGAACCAAAAUCUGUCCAAAAGGACUUAUUUUUCCUACUUAAAGAGGUAAUUAUUUACACUAAAAUACAGACACUCUAUUUUAGACUGAGAGAACAUCUUGAGAGUUGGUUUGAAUACACAAAAACAUAAAAAAAUUCAAUAGCUGAACAUAUAAAGAGUAAGCUGCAUAUUGUGAGUUUUUGGUUGAGUCUUAGAGUGCAAAAUCUUUCAGAAACAUAUAAGAGUAUUAGAGUUUGAUUUUGAGUUCCUUAUCUUAAAAAAUCACUACUUUUAGUGAGACUUCUGGGCUGUUUUUUUUAACACGGAUUCACUGAUGUUUCGUCGUUGUUUCUACUGUCUUUGUUGCUGAUUUUCUGGCCUUUCACUACUGAAUUUCAUCUUGUUACAAGUCAGGUAACCCUUGAACCUUUUGUAUUGCAGAUUCUUGAUGACUAUGUAAUGAUUUGAACCAGUUUGAUUUGGGGAACGUGUAAUAUCUGAUUUUGUAACUUUUAUGAUAAAUGGUAAAAUGAUUAAUUUUGAAGUAAGAAAUGUUUCUUGUAAGCUAAAAGUCAAGUAGAUCCAGGGGUUUUAGUUUGGUAUAGUGGUUAAUUUUUGUCAUACGCCUAUUUCAUCUCCUGACUCGUUGUAUUUGAAUUACUAGCAAGCCAAGAGUUUUAUCACUGUUAGUUGCUUGCUAGGUUACCUUCAGGCUAAUUGGAUUGUAGUAUUUAUCUAUUAGUAGUAAAUAAAUUAGUAGUAUUUUUUUGGAACUAAUAGGCCAUGAUAUAUCAUGUAAAAGAUAAAGUAAUUGGGCCCAAUACACUAGGUCCAGGUCUGAAGCGCUGAAGUAUGCUAGGUGGCCCCUUUUUUUAAUAGAGAAAACUACCCUCUAUAGCCCCUCAAAAUUUUAAUAGCCCAUGUUUUGUCCCACUUACAGAAAAUGAUCUUUCGACCCAAACAUAUUGCAUAUACUAGCCGAAAGGAAUGAACAUGACAACAUAAGCACCUGUAGCUCUGUGGAUAGAGCGUCUGCUUCCUAAGCUAAGGUCGAGGGUUCGACCCCUACCUGGCGCGAUAAAGCAAUCCUUUUUUGCCCUUUUAAAUUGUAUUUUGUACUUCUGGAUCUGAUAAGUAUUAGCUAAGAAUUGAAUGAAAUAUGUAAUGCAGGUCAUAUACGAAAUGUCUAUUUUGUAUAUUUUUUGUAUAAUAACAGUCUAUUUUUGUAUAUUUUUUGCAUAGUGACCGUCUAUUUUGUAUAUUUUUUGUAUAGUAACAGUCUAUUUUUGUAUAGUGACAGUUUAUUUUGUAUAAUAACAGUCUAUUUUGUAUAGUGACAGUCUAUUUUGUAUAGUGACAGUCUAUUUUGUAUAUAUUUUGUAUAGUGACAAUC
rnacentral:lncRNA from 1 species